GUACCCUAAUUUCCAAAUCCUUUCCCUGUUAACUCACCACCACCUACGUGACUCUCCGCUGGUCUCAGCCUUCGCCGUCGGCAUCCAGCCGAGCCGUCGCCGUCCAAUCCAUCUCCCCGUCGUUCGUAGGCUCUCCCUCCCCGUUGAUUGUUCAAUAGCAAGUCAUCCAUCAAGGCCAGCGUCCACGUUGGGUCCAAAGGCGAAGCAAUAAUUGUGGCUUUCCUUUCAAGUAAUUUUGUUUAAAUGCCCAAAUCCUUGAUUGUUAGUAGUUAGAGUAUUAUUGAACGAUGAUGUAUCAUCUUAUUAUAUGGUUAGUAGUUCGAGUGUGAUUGAAUGAUGAUGUGCCUUCUUGCUAUACGGUAAAAAUAACAAUUUGUUGCUUUUUCAUUUUCAUGGCCAUAUUGUGAUCUUUUAUUUUUAUUUUGGGGUGGAAUCGAGUAUUAGUGAUUACUAAAGCAGGGAUUGUAUGCUAUAUUUGUUCUGUUCUGUGCUACAAGCAUGUUGGUGUAGCUAAAAUUCAUGCCAAUUUAGUAGUUAUAUGUAGCAAUUAUAAUUCUCCAUUAUUGUGCUACACUUUUUUUUUUUCAUGUUUCGAAGGAAAGGGGGGGUUCAAUGCUGUAGUGGUUUGAAUAAACAUAGAUAAUUGAAGACUGCGUGUAUAAACAAUGAGAUGGGGACAAUAAGGUGGACCUUGAUUGAAGUAGGAACUAGGAAGCUCAGGUUGAUGGUUCCAAUAAACUUGUGCAUUUUGUAAUCUACACCAUAUUGUGUUGGCAUAACUGAUAAAAAAAAAUCAAUAACUGCUGCUUAACUUGAUGUUAUAAUACCCAAUCUUAAGUAUAUGCAGGUUUUUUAGCUUUGAGGGAAGCAUAUCAAAGAAAUCUGAUAAUAUAUUUGAGUGAUUCUCAUGACUACACUAAUAUGGCUGAUAUGACUUUGCUGAUAUUGUAACAAGAUGUAUAUUCUGGAUAUUUUGUUGCACUGGGUUAUCUGUAUAUUUUUGCUAGUAUUUGUUGGUUACUUCUAAAAAAUCAACCCUUUUUUUUUAUUUUGCCUGUAAAAUAUGCCCAGUUGAACAUAUUCAAGUUAUUGUAUAGUGCAUGUUUGAGAUAGAUAGUCAUAUAGAUAAGUGGAAGAGGAAAUAAAUGGGAAGAUAGAAGGGUGGAGAGAAGCUUUGGAAGCAGUUUUUUUUUAUCUUAUAUCAUUUAUAUUUUAUAUUAAUAGAAGUAAGACAAAGUAUAUAGAAUUUAAAGUUUCACAGAAUAUUGAGGGUGAAGACUACUCCUUCGUAGAUGCUGAAAGUGAUGAGUAUGUUCACAUUGAAUGGUUUGAGGAGAAAGAUGAAUAUUUAGAUUCCUCAAGGUAUUAUGAACAGAGUGGUGGCAAGACUGACUCCUCAAUGGAUUACGAUUUUGGUGGGACAAAUGAUGAUGAUGAGGCAGAGUUGUGUACCAUCCGUUACAACAAUCAAAAACAAGUUUAAAAGCACUUUUUUUUCUGUUUCUAUUAAUUUUACUUUUGGAACUUGUUUACAUUACUCUGAAUCUUAAAUACUUUAGAACAGGAGAAUGAGUUAUUCAUUUUUUUUUUUGUGAAUGCACUUAUAUUUGGAUGGUUGUUGCUGCUUAGUGUUUGCA